CGACGGCGGGCGGCGGGCGGCGGGGGCCUCGGUCUCCCUGGGGCGCGCGACCCCUGGCGUCGGGUCCCAGACAGAAAUCGACUUCAGCCCCUGAGCAAAUUGUGUGGAAGCAACAUGUGUCCACUGCCAACUAUUGUGCCUAGUGCUUUUUCAAGAAAUUAUGUCAUUGGAUUCUCACAGCUACUUGACACUUAAAACUGCCUUGCCCUUUGGAACCAGGCCGAGCUGGGAUGUCUGAAACUCAACCCUGCCAUUUACUUUUUGUAGGUCCUUGGGUGGAAGAACCUGACUGGUGCUUCAGCUGUUAAAUGAGUGGAAAGAAAUCUUUACGAUGUGGAACCCUAUCUGGCUCGAGAGUAGUAACUUUGUAUCUACCCAUGCUCACUAGCUCCUAUAAACCAGCUGUGGGCAUCUUUUACUGCUUCUGAAACGGUUGCCUUAGUGACUUUUAAAACAGGAAUUUGUUAAGAUUCACGGUGGAUAAAACGUUGACAAUUAGUUGUGUCCAAGAAGAAACAAGGUAAACAUUUCAUUUGCACGAGUACACAAGAAGUCGGCUGCAUAGGAAGCAAAGCACAGAGGAUGGCCUUGUGUUAGCCAGGGACUGCUUAUUGAGUAAUAUGUUCACUGUCUCCUAUCCAGCCAGUGACAGGAAUAAAAAAUUCAUAGCCCUUAUCUUCAGUGCCUUUGCUUUGUAAGCCAAAGGCAAAACAUAAACACAUAAUAAGCAGCCUAAAGUAGACACAAGUCAGGUGUAUAGGAGCGGAAAGGAAAAUACGUUAUGAACAAGGCAAGGCUCACUGAGGGGAACAGGACAUCGGAGAGGUAAACAGUGAAAAACUAUCAAUCCUACAGUUGGCAGUAUCUUCCAAAGAUAAAACCCUGAAAGCCAGAAAUGCAUUCUUUUUACAUGUAUGUGUGAAUUCCUACAUGUCUGUGUAGCACGUGUGCCAGUGCCUGUGGAGGCCAGCCCGGAGCUGGAGUUCCAGGCAAUUUUGUGCUACCCAGUGUGGGUGCUGGGAACCAAACCGAGGUCCUCUGUAAGAGCAGCCGGUGCCUUUAACAACCGAGCCAUCUCUCCAGCCCCCAGAAAUAUGUUUCUAAGCUUUAAAAAUCGUGUGUAGGGGGCUGGAGAGAUGGCUUAGAGGUUAAGAGCACUGGCUGCUCUUCCAGAGUUCGUGAGUUCAAUUCCCAGCAACCACAUGGUGGGUGGCUCACAGUCAUCUAUACCAGCAAGAUGGUUCUUUGGGAGAAGGCACCUGCCAAGGCUGACAACAUGAGUUCCAUCCUUAGGACUCACAUGCUCCUAGUUAACUUUUUAAGUACUUUCCAAACUCCCAAGUGUGCCAAUGUUAGUUCAUCAAUUCUCAGCUCUUUGUAUUCCAGGGCAAGGGAUUCAUUUCACUCUGACCAUUUGUCCUUUUUUCCUUCUAUACAGUGAACAUUUUAAUUCUAGCUUCAAAACUGUUACCGUUUCUGUGACUGACACAAUUUCUAAUUUCUAAUUCAUGCCUAUCUACCGUCAUGUUUUCCCGAGGUUUUCUUAGGACAUACUCAGAAAAUAACUGCAUUGAAAUAUCACCUAUUAGCCGGGCGUUGGUGGCGCACGCCUGUAAUCCCAGCACUCGGGAGGCAGAGGCAGGCGGAUCUCUGUGAGUUCGAGGCCGGGCUGGACUGAUAGCCUCCAAAACAAUACAGAGAAACCCUGUCUCGAAAAACCAAAAAAAAAAAAAAAAAAGAAAAAGAAAUAUCACCUAUUAUUUUCCUAUUGGCAAAAACUGCCUUUCAUGGACCAGUGUAGUGAAGAAAGAAAAUUCAGUGUUUGUUUUUAAGUACUUGUUGAGCUCAAAGUUGCCAAAAACUAAUUCUUUGUUUCUUUGUCCUUAGUUCAAAAUUCUAGGUUUCCUGAGCAGUGUUUUAAUCUUGUUUGGCUUGGCUAAUUUCUGUUGCAGUUAAGUUCCUACCACCUCAAAAAUUUUUUUAAUCCCACUUUAGAAAACAAUUGUAGGAAAUUAUAAUCUUAAUCAUCACAAAGCCUAUACUGUGAGUUCAUGAAAAUAAAAAUUAGCAUCCAGCCUCCUCCCUUCCCCCCACCCUCUGCCCAAACUGGUGUCCCAUCCAUCAGCAUGAGACAGGACACUCCACUAGCAAUUUAGGGGAUAUGCUGAGGCAUGUGACCACUCUAAGCAUUUUCACUAUUAUAGUUCUUUUAAAAGUUUUAAACUCUGGACCUGGUGGGGAGGCUCAGUGGUAGGUUGCUUGCCUAGUGUGCACAAACCCUGGGUUCAUCCCCAGCCCUGAAAACCUGUCCUUAAUUCAUUAAUAAUAAUAAUAAUAAUAAUAAUAAUAAUAAACUAGAGAGAUAAAAGCAAAAUCAUGAUGGCCCCAUUCAAACAAAUGGCCAUUCUGCAUACUGCAGGAAUCCUUCUAAGGAUGCUAUUUGUAGCUGAUUGGAUGCCAGUGUCACAGGCAGGUCACGGGAGACUAGAAGGCUCUCCACAGGAGUCUCUUUCAAGAGCCCUAAUAUUAAAGCUCUUAGUUGGUGACAGCUUCUCACUUUGUAGCCCAGGUUGAUCUCCAACUUGUGAUCUUCCUGCCUCUCCUCCCAAAUGUUGGAACUCCUUUUAUACUACCAUUCUGUGCUUUUUUGUUAGUUGUUAUCGUUUUGAAGACAAGGUCUCUCCUGGCCUGGAACUCACAGAUCCUCCUGUCUUUGCUUCUCCAGUGCUAGGACUAAAUAUGUAGCUACCACUCGAGGCUCUCAAUACCUGGAUCUUCCAUACUUAAACUGACCCCCAUUGAUUAAGAAAUACUUUUUUAUUUUUUGAAGAUUUCUUUAUUUUUGUGUUUGAGUAUUUUGCCUGCAAGUAUAAUGAAUUCGCUGUUGUUUAAAUGAGAUUCCCUAUUUUAAAAAUAAAAAGCUGUAUUGAGAAUGAACAUGAUGCAGACCAAUAAAAUGUGAACUCUCUCCUCCUCCCCCA